rnacentral:rRNA from 1 species
GACGAACGCUGGCGGCGUGCCUAAUACAUGCAAGCCGAGCGGACAGAAGGGAGCUUGCUCCCGGAAGUUAGCGGCGGACGGGUGAGUAACACGUGGGCAACCUACCCUGUAGAUCGGGAUAACAUCGAGAAAUCGGUGCUAAUACCGGAUAAUCAUUUGAAGUGCAUGCUUCGAAUGUAAAAGAUGGCUCCGGCUAUCACUACGGGAUUGGCCCGCGGCGCAUUAGCUAGUUGGUAAGGUAAUGGCUUACCAAGGCAACGAUGCGUAGCCGACCUGAGAGGGUGAUCGGCCACACUGGGACUGAGACACGGCCCAGACUCCUACGGGAGGCAGCAGUAGGGAAUCUUCCGCAAUGGACGAAAGUCUGACGGAGCAACGCCGCGUGAGUGAUGAAGGUUUUCGGAUCGUAAAGCUCUGUUGUUAGGGAAGAACAAGUGCCGUUUGAAUAAGGCGGCACCUUGACGGUACCUAACCAGAAAGCCACGGCUAACUACGUGCCAGCCGCCGCAGUAAAAC